rnacentral:rRNA from 1 species
UCCUGCUACAAAAUCACCCUGAAUGCACUCAAUCUCGGUGGCUUUCUGAAGCUGGGCAGGUUGAGCCCGUGUAGUAAUUGUAUGGGACACUAACCUGGGAAUACCAGGUGUUGUAAGCA